AAGAGUUUAGGGUCUCUGGCCCGAACCUCCAACCCUCUGUUGUUAAAACUACCUUGUUGCUUUGGCGGGACCGUUCGGUUCCGAGCGCGCCGGUCCUCCCGGACAGGCGAGCGCCCGCCAGAGUCUACUCAAACUCUUGUUUUUAACCGGUCGUCUGAGUUAAAUUUUUAAUUAAAUUA
rnacentral:misc_RNA from 1 species